rnacentral:rRNA from 1 species
AAUAUAUACAUAUAUGAAUGGAGUGGAUCAACAUGGGACCGCGUGGCAAAAGCGCAAAAAAAAAAAAAAGAAGCAAAGAUCAAUAGUUAAAAUUCGAUCAAAUCAGGGGAUGUGCUUUUGGUAGUUCUCGGGGGGUUCGAUAUAGUAUGAGGACUAUAAGAAAAUAAGCAUCCAUAUACUAGACUAUAGAUAAAUAUAAACGAACAAAGAGCAACAUAUAACAUAAAUGAUUAUCAUCUCUUUGUGUUUUGUUUCAACUGAAACAUACCUUCAAUUUGUUCACCCCAUAGGCUCCAAAUUAGAAGCCAUCUAAAGAUGAUCCACACCACACCUAAGGAAGAUAAUUUUGAUCUCCUUCCAGAGGAAAUCAAAAUUCGUCUGAAAGAAAAAUGAUCAAAGAGAACUACACUAUGAGUCAAGGUGCGCAGUGGGCCUGGCUUCGUUGGAUCGGUCCAACGGGAUAGGCCCAUCUUUAAAGACAGGCUGGACAAACCCAACCCACUUGGAAUCGGACUAGUCCUAGGCUGAUCCCAGGAAUCGAUACGUGGGAUCAGCCCAACUGAUGGCCCAGGACCAUCUUGUCCUAGUCCGAGCCUAGGCUCGGCUAAGCCAAUUGGGCUGGAUUAAUGGUUUGGCCAAUUGGGCUAUUCUUUAUUUUAAUAAUUCAUAAUAAUUUUUAUAUUAUUCUUCUAAAUUGAUACUAGUAGGAUUAUUAAACUUUCCAAACUUAAAAAAAAAUAUUUUUAUUAUUCUACUUUUAAAAAUAUAUUUUUUGGGCUUGUAUUAUUGAAAUUUCUUAUUGUAAGCUUGUUAAUUAAAUUUUUAUUUAAGUUCAUUAGUCUGUAUUUUGUUUUGGUUUAGUCAUAAGUUUAAUUAUAAUUUUUGUUAGAUUUAAUAUAUUAUCUAUAUAUUUAAUAAGACAAUGAUAAAUUUAAGAAAUUGUUCAAAGUAAUACCUCAAUUUAUUAAUUGAAUUUAAAAAUUUACAUGUCGAAUAUAAAAGGAAAAAUAAAUAAAUAGAGAAUUAACUAUAAUUUUUUUUUUUGGUAAAGGUAAAUUACAUUAAGAAAAAUCGUAGUACAGUCAUAUGGCCGAUGAUGUGUGCCAUGGAAUUUGCCAUAAUCUAUACAAGGCUAUCAUACUAAUUUUAUUGGGUAAUUCUGCACUAAUAAUACGUAAUCUAAUUUCAUCAAGAAUAAUCUUAGCCACUGCCAACGGGUCUCGAUCCAAUUGCUGAAAUUUCCUCCUAUUGCGCUCCUGCCAAAUGUGAUAUACUAUAGAUGCUAAAAGGUUGCGAUAGGUGGCAUUAAUCACGUGCUUUCCCCUCUACUUUCUCGCAGCAAUCAUUAUAUCAAUCAUCCAUCCUCUGUUUGUCCAUGAAAAUCAGAUCUCCCUACGUAAGAUUCGAAUACACUGUGUUAAAUAAGGGUACGAAAAUAACAAGUGUUGAUGAGUCUCCAGUGUACCCAUCGAGCAAAGAACACAAUCCCCAUUAAGAUGUUGUAACCAUGGACGAUCCAUGGUGGAGGGUUGUUCAUGUAUAGCUAGCCAUAAAAUAAAUGAAUUUCGGGGUAUUUUGAAUGGGCCCAUAAGGAGUGAAUACCAUCCUACCUUUGGGCCUGAAGAACGAAAGAUGUCAUACACCCUCCUAUUGGUGUAAGGGCCUCCCCUCAAAGUGAUCGAGUCUUGUGUGCCUUGUAGAGUAGGCAAAUUUUGGAUAAUGUCCAACAUGGAAAAUUAACUAUAAUUAACUAUAAUUAUUAAAGAACAUAUAGUACAUAUUGCAAAAAAUUAUUCAGGAAUCACUAUCCACUCGUACAUAUUUGAUGAUCCUUCUCCAUAUCGAUAUUAUGUCCGUGGAUAAUAUAAUCCUUCAAAAUCGAUGUUUUCUCCACACUCUCUGGAUCGAAAAAUAUUGAAGGUAGAAAUGGUUCUUCAUCUUCAUCAUCAUCCUCCUCAUCAUUGAAUGUUGGUGGUUUGUAUUUGUUCCGUUCAUGUUCCAAUUGUUUCUUCCCCAUUCUUGAUCUAACCAAUCUUUCCAUAAAACCAAAAAUUUUAUUGAUAAGUUUUGACCUAAAUGAAAGGCGUAACGAUCAGGCACUGUCUUGGAGAAAGCCUUAGUAAAACAAAUAUGUUUGUAAAGAUGCAAAAUACCAAUACUUGGAAAGAAAGACCUUAUGAAGUUUAACUGUACCUUGGGAUUGGGUUUAAGUCUUUCCUGGCAGCUUAGGUAGAAGGCGAAGAAGGCGUCCGUUCUGGGGAGGGGGGGUGGAGGGGCUGAGCCAUCAGUGAGAUACCAUUCUAGAAGAACUAGAGUUCUAACCUUAAGUCAAGACCUACAAGUCAAUGGAAAGUGUCUAUGGUAGACAGUUUCUAUGGGGCGUAGACUUACCAAAAGGUAACUGUGGCCUGCAAAGGUUUCUUCAGGCCAGGCAAAGACUCAAGUGCAAAAGUAGAAGGCGCUUGACUACAAGACCCAUACAUUGAGCAAGGACGAAAGUCAACUAUAGUGAUCCAACGGUUCCAUGUGGAUGGGCCUUCGCUCAAUGGAUAAUAGCUACUCUACAGAUAAUAAGCUAAUUUUCCCUAAUAAGUCACAUUGACGGGAAGGUUUGGCACCUUGAUGAUGGCUCUUCGCCACCUAAGGUUGUAGUAUGUUAAAAGAGUUAGGUUGUUCGUCCAUUAAAGUGGUACAUGAGCUGGGGUUUAAAAUGUCAUGAGGUAGUUUAGUCCAUAUCCGGUGUGAGCGUUAGAGCAUCAAGAGGAUGUUUUCCUAGUAGGAGAGGACUGAGAAUGACGCACCUCCACUGUACCAGUUAUCGUUCCCAAAAUAAAAGUUGGGUAGCCAAGUGCGGAGCAGAUAACUACUGAAAGCAACUAAGUAGUAAGCCCACCCCAAGAUGAGUGAUCUCCUAUUCCAACUUCCCCAGAACCUUUGGUAGCACAAUCAAGACAACGACUGGUUCUCCGCCCUCACGUGGAUAAAGCAUAUAAAUUUUGAGAAUUCAAAAAGUCACGAUGAGACGAUC